GGAGAGGUGGCGGAGCCUGGCUUAUCGCACCCGUCUUGAAAACGGGAGGACGGCAACGUCCCGUGGGUUCAAAUCCCACUCUCUCCGCCA
rnacentral:tRNA from 1 species